rnacentral:rRNA from 1 species
GAUGAACGCUGGCGGCGUGCCUAAUACAUGCAAGUAGAACGCUGAAGGAGGAGCUUGCUCUUCUGGAUGAGUUGCGAACGGGUGAGUAACGCGUAGGUAACCUGCCUUGUAGCGGGGGAUAACUAUUGGAAACGAUAGCUAAUACCGCAUGACAACAGUUAUUGCAUGAUAACUGUUUAAAAGGGGCAACUGCUCCACUACCAGAUGGACCUGCGUUGUAUUAGCUAGUUGGUGAGGUAACGGCUCACCAAGGCGAGGAUACAUAGCCGACCGGAGACGGUGAUAGGCCACACUGGGAGUGAGACACGCCCCAGAGUCCUACGGGAGGCAGCAGUAGUGCAUCUUCGGGAAUGGGUGGAAGUCUGAGCGAGAAAGGCCGCGUGAGUGAAGAACGUUUUCGGAUCGUAAAGCUCUGUUGUCAGAGAAGAACGCGUGUGAGAGUGGAACGUUGACACUGUGACGGUAGCUUACCAGAAAGCGCCGGCUAACUACGUG